UACGGGGGGGGCAAGCGUUGUUCGGAAUUACUGGGCGUAAAGGGCUCGUAGGUGGCCAACUAAGUCGGACGUGAAAUCCCUCAGCUUAACUGGGGAACUGCGUCCGAUACUGGAUGGCUUGAGUUUGGGAGAGGGAUGCGGAAUUCCAGGUGUAGCGGUGAAAUGCGUAGAUAUCUGGAGGAACACCGGUGGCGAAGGCGGCAUCCUGGACCAAAACUGACACUGAGGAGCGAAAGCCAGGGGAGCAAACGGG
rnacentral:rRNA from 1 species